rnacentral:siRNA from 1 species
ACGAAAUGUUGCAGGCCUGUGAAAC